GUGCCGGCUUUGGCAGCACAUAUUCUAAAGUCGGAGCCAUACAGAGAAGAUUAGCAUGGCCCCGCACAAGGAUGACAGGCAAAUUCGUGAAGCAUUACAUUAAAAA